rnacentral:rRNA from 1 species
AAUCUCUAAAAUUAUUCUUAGUUCGGAUUGAAGUCUGCAACUCGACUUCAUGAAGUUGGAAUCGCUAGUAAUCGUAAAUCAGCAUGUUACGGUGAAUACGUUCUCGAGCCUUGUACACACCGCCCGUCACACCAUGGAAGUUAAUUGUAUCUGAAGUAAUUUAAAUAAUACGACGGUAUGAUUAAUGACUGGGGUGAAGUCGUAACAAGGUA